UACGGGGGGGGGCAAGCGUUGUUCGGAAUUACUGGGCGUAAAGGGCUCGUAGGUGGCCAACUAAGUCAGACGUGAAAUCCCUCGGCUUAACCGGGGAACUGCGUCUGAUACUGGAUGGCUUGAGUUUGGGAGAGGGACGCGGAAUUCCAGGUGUAGCGGUGAAAUGCGUAGAUAUCUGGAGGAACACCGGUGGCGAAGGCGACACACUGGCCCGUAACUGACGCUGAGGCGCGAAAGCGUGGGGAGCAAACAGG
rnacentral:rRNA from 1 species